AGGAUGAACGCUGGCGGCGUGCCUAAUACAUGCAAGUCGAACGAGGUGCUUUUGUAGCAAUACGAGAGUAUCCUAGUGGCGAACGGGUGAGUAACGCGUUGGUGACCUACCCCAAAGUGUGGAAUAACAGUCCGAAAGGAUUGCUAAUACCGCAUGUGGUUAUCGGAUUUAGAAACUGAUAACUAAAGGAGCAAUUCGCUUUGGGAGGGACCUGCGUCCCAUCAGCUAGUUGGUGAGGUAACGGCUCACCAAGGCUACGACGGUAGGGGACCUGAGAGGGUGACCCCCCACAAUGGAACUGAAAACACGGUCCAUACACCUACGGGUGGCAGCAGUAGGAAUAUGCACAAUGGGCGAAAGCCUGAUGCAGCAACGCCGCGUGUGCGAUGAAAGGCCUUCGGGUCGUAAAGCUACUUUUCUAGAGAGAUGAAGAAAAGGAC
rnacentral:rRNA from 1 species